GGCGAACGACUUGGCUUUCCGCCAGUCUGACGUAUAUACGUUGUCGCGGGUUCUCCCGGGGAUUCUCGUCGCGUGCAGUGCGAGUCCUGUUGCUCGUGCCGAUCCGUCGUUCCGCUCCUUCGCCGAUUUGCGUGCGGCCGCCGCGUAUCGCCGACGCGACGCGAGGUUGUCGUCCCGUGUUGUUAUUGUUGUUGUUGUUAUUGUUGUUUCCGCGUCGUCGCGGAGUCGUUUCGUCCGUCGAGCCGGUGCCAAACGUCGCGGAUUUGUCGCGAGAGGGAAGGUUUAAACCCGGGGGUUGUGGCAGCGAGCGGAGAUACAAGGGUUCGAUGUGUGGAGGACACCGGGGAUGAGACGUGGAGGAGGCUCUGAGCGAUCGCGAUCUUGAGGGAGAGCGCGUAGUCGAGAGAGAGAGAGAAAGAGGUGUGACACACAAGCCUCAGUUUUCAAAAUCCCGAAGUGUCUCGAAAUCGGGCGCGCGGAGAUUCGAUUGUCGGCCAGACGACUUUGUUCGUUCUUGAAAGUUUCACUGUCACGGCGCUCAGGGCCCGUCGUUUCAGUUCCUGAAGCUCGCCAGGGAACGCACGGCAAGUUUUCUUUUUCCCUUAACGACCAGGAGUGUUACGGGAAAAUGAUGAUUGACGAUGAAUGAGCACGCCGGUUUCUUCCACACGUCGGACAAUCGUAGGAAAUCGCUCAUCUAUUAGCGGAACGAGAUUCGCCAUCUACGGGGACCGUUGCACACAUGAGGAAUAGCAAUUGCCCCGACAAUUAUCCCGUAAUGAUUCAGACGGCGCGAAUGAGAAUGACUGAUUUGUGAACGUGGAGAAUCGCCGAGAGGCGAAUAUCGCCGUAGGGAAUCGAUAUAUCGAUAAGGCCGAGUUUCUCCCGGCUCGCCUCCGAGAAGAGAUGAUGAUCGAGAAUCCUGCGCGAGGAGAGAUCCCGGAAUAAAUCCUAUCGAAAGAGACUCGAAAGGAAGUUUCGCAAAGUGUGACACGAGGAGAGAGGAAACUGGAAGAAGAAGGAGAGCAUCAAGAAGCAAUCUUGAGGAGAUGUUCAUGGCAGCAAGAUUCGAGGAAGGAAGUCUGCCGAACGAAAUAAUUGUGCUCGAGAAGGUACGCUCUUAGCUAACAACCGAAGAAGUUGCGGAAGAAUCGCCGACAAAUCUUAAUUUCGCGGGGAGGAACAUUCUUGAAGACGAACGGGAAGAAACGCAUCUUGGGAAAGUGGUUCGCACUUUUUCGCAACUUUCUUCCUCUUGGAUCGCUGGCUCUCUUCCGGCGCAAUUUAUCUCCGGAGAAUUGCUCAUUUACCGAUUUCUGGCUCGCGGAUGUCGAUAUCGCUUCGUCUACCACUGGUAGACAAGAAUGAUACUCGAGAAGGUGUUCGCGCGAGAGCCGCGGGGCGUCGCGACGCCGGGCCGACGAAUUGAGGAACGCCGCGACUUCGGCUUUACGUAAUGCUGCUCACUUGCUACCACCAGCACCGUCGGGUGGGACUUGUCAAGGUCGCGGACCGCGGAAAACGCGCUGCACGCCUGUAACGAGACGCCACCGCCGUGGUCGUCGCAGUCGCUGUGAUCCUAUUAGUCUAAUGAGGAGCAGAGUCGGUAGUAGAGCGUUCCUCUGGUCGAGCAGAACGAACGAGCGUACCUGCUGAGGUCCAACAAAUUGAGGAAGCGAAAAGGUCGUCGAGGAAAACAAUU